GGAAUAUUGGGCAAUGGGCGCAAGCCUUACCCAGCAAUACCGCGUGAGUGAAGAAGGUCUUCGGAUUGUAAAGCUCUUUGAUCAGGGACGAACAGAUGACGGUACCUGAAGAACAAGCCCCGGCUAACUACGUGCCAGCAGCCGCGGUAAAACGUAGGGGGCGAGCGUUGUCCGGAAUGACUGGGCGUAAAGGGUGCGUAGGCGGCAUAAUAAGUUAGAAGUGAAAUACCCAGAGCUUAACUCGGGUGCUGCUUCUAAGACUGUUGAGCUUGAGUGCGGGAGAGGUUAAUGGAAUUCCUAGUGUAGCGGUGGAAUGCGUAGAUAUUAGGAGGAACACCAGAGGCGAAGGCGAUUAACUGGACCGUAACUGACGCUGAGGCACGAAAGUGUGGGUAGCAAAC
rnacentral:rRNA from 1 species